rnacentral:rRNA from 1 species
UACGUAGGGUGCGAGCGUUAAUCGGAAUUACUGGGCGUAAAGCGUGCGCAGGCGAUUUGUUAAGCUAGAUGUGAAAGCCCCGAACUCAACCUGGGAAUUGCAUUUAGAACUGGCAGGCUAGAGUCUUGGAGAGGGGAGUGGAAUUCCAGGUGUAGCGGUGAAAUGCGUAGAUAUCUGGAGGAACAUCAGUGGCGAAAACAACUCCCUGGCCAAAGACUGACGCUCAUGUGCGAAAGUGUAAAUAACGAACAGG